rnacentral:rRNA from 1 species
GACGAACGCUGGCGGCGUGCCUAACACAUGCAAGUCGAACGGGGCACCUUCGGGUGCUUAGUGGCGAACGGGUGAGUAACGCGUGAGAAACCUGCCUUUCAGUGGGGGACAACAGUUGGAAACGACUGCUAAUACCGCAUAAUGUUAUUUGAGGGCAUCCUCGAAUAGCCAAAGCUUAAUGUGCUGAAAGAUGGUCUCGCGUCUGAUUAGCUAGAUGGCGGGGUAACGGCCCACCAUGGCGACGAUCAGUAGCCGGUCUGAGAGGAUGAACAGCCACACCGGGACUGAGACACGGCCCGG